rnacentral:rRNA from 1 species
GUGCCAGCAGCGGCGGUAAUACGUAGGUGGCAAGCGUUAUCCGGAUUUAUUGGGCGUAAAGCGAGCGCAGGCGGUUUUUUAAGUCUGAUGUGAAAGCCCUCGGCUUAACCGAGGAAGUGCAUCGGAAACUGGGAAACUUGAGUGCAGAAGAGGACAGUGGAACUCCAUGUGUAGCGGUGAAAUGCGUAGAUAUAUGGAAGACACCAGUGGCGAAGGCGGCUGUCUGGUCUGUAACUGACGCUGAGGCUCGAAAGCAUGGGUAGCGAACAGGAUUAGAUACCCUGGUAGUCCAUGCCGUAAACGAUGAAUGCUAGUGUUGGAGGGUUUCCGCCCUUCAGUGCCGCAGCUAACGCAUUAAGCAUUCCGCCUGGGGAGUACGACCGCAAGGUUGAAACUCAAAGGAAUUGACGGGGCCGCACAAGCGGUGGAGCAUGUGGUUUAAUUCGAAGCAACGCGAAGAACCUUACCAGGUCUUGACAUCUUUUGAUCACCUGAGAGAUCAGGUUUCCCCUUC